UAAAUGUUUCUUCACCUCAUAAAAAUAUUAAACCAAGUCCAUUUUUUAUUUGCUAAAUUAAAAUUUUUGUGGAUAAAAUGUUUGAAGUCAUAUUUUCAGUCUUGUGGAAACAGAUGUUCUUCAUCCACCAGAUGUCGCUCUUCUUCACAGCUGAUCCUCUUUGUUUUGUUUCUCAAAGAGGAAUCCCCCACAAAAACAAGGAGUGACGCAUCAGGAGGAGACCCCGGUUUUGUCGAGUAAGCUUUGGGGGGAUCUGGUGCUGGCGGGGUCAUCUGGUCCGUGUCACCCUCUGAUGGAUUUAUGACUCAGCGGAAUUUAAAACAACAGAGGAUCUUUGUUCAAACCGCCUGAAGCAACAUUUCUGCACUGAAUCCACCUUUUUCUCUGUUUUCUCAGAGUCCCAGCAGAGGGUGUGGCCUCCUGCAGGUUCUGCUCCAAAUAAGGGGAAAGUUGUUUGAAAUUCUUCAAAAAAGGCUCCAGUGUUUGGAUCCUGAGGAAACUUUACGGACCCUAGGAAAGGAGAUAUUAAUAACUCCAGACCAGCCCACCACAUUCCUCACAUGUUGCAGGAGGACACAGUCUGCAGCAGAAAUCGCAAGACUGCACGGUGGCUCGGCGGGCCUCGUGGUCCUGAGCUCACAGGUUCAAAACCUAGGAAGGAAAUUUGCAGUAAAACAAUCCAAUCUUUCAGGUUUGUUCACAGAAAGAAAAACACAAGAUGAUAUAUUCAAAGUAUCAAAUUUUAGCAAAAAGUGCAACAAAAACUUUGGUGAGGAGAAACGUCACAUUUUAUUUCGUUUUUAUUCAUAUACAGUAGUCAAUAAAUUUGUCUUUCAGUCUGGUUAGAGCUCAUCUUAGCAGGUGAAACAACAGCAACGUUUAUAAAAAAUAAUACGUAUCGUGUGAAAAGCACGAAAGUGAAAUUAAUUCAGGCUGUUAGGAUUGUGCUUCAGAAUAAAAAAAGAACAAACAUGAGCUAAGCAGGUCUUUGUUUAAAAAAAAUAAAAAUAAUAUUCUCACAAAGCAAAUACGUUCCAGCAUCAAUAUAUCACUGAUUAAAUGUUUGGUGCUUUAAUACAGAAACUUUAUUUUCUAAUAUAAAGUUUAAAGCUUUUCUCUCAGCGACGCUUUUCAACAAACACAAAUAAAAAAGAACAAACAUUAAAAAAGAAAAAAGAAACGCCCAAACAUGUUGACUGCUUCUGUUUGUUCAGCUGUGCAGGUGUACGGUCUCAGGUGAGCUAUGCAGCACUGUGCAAAAGUUUUAAACCUCUCCAGGCUUCUUUAGUCAGAAUUUCUUCUGUUUUUUAAUGGUGGUCCUGAUCUGUAGGUUUUCAGACUUUGUCUGCUUUUUCACUCACUUCCUGAUUGUGAACGCAUUUUGUGCACAUUUGGCUUUUUGAUAGUUCUUGUUAGAGCUAAAACACUAGAAUCUGUCUGUCUGUGUAUUUUUUUUAUCAGUUAUCAGUUGAGUUUUAGGAGGUCAGAGUUAAAACGGCUCAAUGAAUUAAACAUGCAAA